rnacentral:rRNA from 1 species
AGUGAACGCUGGCGGUAGGCCUAACACAUGCAAGUCGAACGGCAGCACAGUAAGAGCUUGCUCUUACGGGUGGCGAGUGGCGGACGGGUGAGGAAUACAUCGGAAUCUACUUUUUCGUGGGGGAUAACGUAGGGAAACUUACGCUAAUACCGCAUACGACCUACGGGUGAAAGCAGGGGAUCUUCGGACCUUGCGCGAUUGAAUGAGCCGAUGUCGGAUUAGCUAGUUGGCGGGGUAAAGGCCCACCAAGGCGACGAUCCGUAGCUGGUCUGAGAGGAGGCUAAGCCACACUGGAACUGAGGCACGAUCCGGAAUACUACGAGAGGCACACGUGGGGAAUAUUGGAGAAUGGGAGCAAGCGUGAACAAGCCAUACCGCGUGAGUGAAGAAGGCAUUAGGGUUGUAAAGCCCUUUUGUUGGGAAAGAAUAGAAGGAGGUUAAACCCGCGAUGUUAAGACGGUACCCAAAGAAUAAGCACCGGCUAAAUUCGGU